UCGUCGGGGGAGCUUCACCGUUGCCUGCGAUUCCUGUCCUGAUUGGCGUUUAAGGCGGUGAUUUUGGGUUACGGCAAUUGUUCUAAAGCGUAAUUGAAGAAGAAUUUGCUCACAUUAGCUUAGGCAGAGUCGGCAUCAAUCCGUACUCAUUGAUCCUUUGAUGUUUCGUCAUCGUCUGAACCUGCAACAGAGAAGUGCCACGUAUAGCUGACCAUGGCUGAAGACUGGUUUAGGCAAGUAUAGAGAGACGUGUGACAAAGUCUGUCCUUGACUUUUAUUUAUUGUCAUCGCAUAACAGACCCUUAUCGGAAACUGGCGUCGCUUCAAGGUGAAUGGAUGGUUGGAUUCUGGUGGUGACAAUAUGAUCCGUGGUAGCAGAAUAGGAUCUCUCUUGGUGGUUGAUAUUAUGCAGGAGCAUGACUGGGACACCCACUUUCAGACGUAGUUUAUGCGCCGGUAGACCUGGAAACUCCAAUGAGUUUAGAUAUUCCACCAGGUAUGUCAUAUCUAAGUCUCCUGAAUGUUGCUCUUCCUCCGCAAAGCUGUCCGCACUCAA